rnacentral:rRNA from 1 species
UACGUGGGGUGCAAGCGUUGUCCGGAAUUAUUGGGCGUAAAGAGCUCGUAGGCGGUUUGUUGCGUCGGCUGUGAAAUCCCGAGGCUCAACCUCGGGUCUGCAGUCGAUACGAGCAAACUAGAGUGUUGCAGGGGAGACUGGAAUUCCUGGUGUAGCGGUGAAAUGCGCAGAUAUCAGGAGGAACACCGGUGGCGAAGGCGGGUCUCUGGGCAACAACUGACGCUGGAGGAGCGAAAGCGUGGGGAGCGAACAGGA